ACGCUCGACACCUACGGGAGGCAGCAGUGGGGAAUAUUGCACAAUGGAGGAAACUCUGAUGCAGCGAUGCCGCGUGAGGGAAGAAGGUUUUCGGAUUGUAAACCUCUGUCUUUGGGGACGAUAAUGACGGUACCCAAGGAGGAAGCUCCGGCUAACUACGUGCCACAGCCGCGGUAAUCUGAGCGGCUGGCAAGGC
rnacentral:rRNA from 1 species